GUCUGCUGAUGGGUGGGGCUGAGUUCCCUUCCUGCUGGUUGUUUGGCCUGAGGUGAUCUGGCACUGGAGCCUACAGGCUCUUUGGUGGGGCUAAUGGCGGACUCUGUGAAGGCUUAUGCCAAGGAGUACUUCCCAGAACUUCUGCUGCCUGUGUCCUUGUCCCCGUGGUCAGCCACAGCCACCUCCUGCCUCUGCAGGAGACCCUCCAACACUAGCAGGUGGUGAUAAAGGCUACAAUCAGGCUAGUCAAGAAAGACCUUUCUGAUAAGGAGACACCUGAACACAUCCCUCAGUGCCAGUCUGGUGGCUGACAGCCUCCUCCAUCUCAGGCAGUGGACGCUCAUUGAAUACCAUGGCUGUAAAGGAACAGCAAGAAGGUGUGCAAAAGGGAAGAAGAACAUUGAAUUGAUGAGAAGCAUCAUGAAUAAAGAUUUGAAACCAACAUGAAAUGACAAGGUUUCAAAUUUUCUUCCCUGAAAGAACUCACUGCUCCCUGAUAUUUUUCCCUUCUCUUCCUUAUGCUGUUUCACCCUAAGUAGUGGAUCCUUGACAAGUUUCGCUUAGACAUCAUGGAGAUGGUACUCUACAAGCAUCCCACACAGGGCCUUUAUGGUUGGUUUCUCAAGAAGCAGAUGCUGAGAUGGAGACUGGUGUGAAAGACGUAUACUACAAAUCAAAACCUGUAAAAGAAAGGAGGCAGGAUUGAACAAGGGAGAGAUUAAAUGUGAUUCACUCUUGGCAAAAUCUUGGCCAAUUCUUGUGGGGAACCCUGGGACAAAUAUUGAGUGUUGCCCAUCAUGAUUGACUUUCGCUGGGACAAAGUGACUGGGCAUUUCCAAGAUCUUCCUCCAAGAAGUCUUGCCUUAUCCUAUGAGAGACUUAUUCUUUCUUCUGCUGACGUACUGUAAGGUUUUGAAGGUGACCAACUGUGAGGCAUCAUCUUAAUUUUCCUCAUGUUAUUAAUCACAGGCCAACUCAUGAGGCAAUUCUACUCUUUCAUCCUGUGUCCCUGCCAAAGAUCAUUAAUGUGAUCUUUUUUGCUGUCUCACAGUUCAGUGCAGGUUUCCAAACAAGCAGCUCCAGGCCAUCUCAAGUGCAUGUAGAUUAAGACACAAUCAUCUUCCCUUGCAAACAGAAGUGCUCAAAAGUUGUUUAUUAAAAGAAUUAAAACAGGGCUUCCCUGGUGGCGCAGUGGUUGAGAGUCCACCUGCCAAUGCAGGGGACACGGGUUCGUGCCCUGGUCUGGGAAGAUCCCACAUGCCAUGGAGUGGCUGGGCCUGUGAGCCAUGGCUGCUGAGCCUGUGCGUCCGGAGCUUGUGCUCUGCAAUGGGAGAGGCUACAACAGUGAGAGGCCCGCAUAGCACAAAAAAAAAAAAAAAAAAAAGAAAGAAAACAUAAUAUCUCACUCUUCAUUAUCUGUCUACAUACUCAAACGUAUCUUUUAUCCUAAAGUAAUGAUACUCUAAGUUCUUCUAAACCUACAUAGUGAGCUCCUUCAGGGAAGAUACCAUGGGUUUUCUGUCUUUGUAUCCCUGGUACCUAAUAGUGGUAAUAAUAGUAAUAAGUCUAUAUUUCAGGCCACUGUUUGCAUGUAUUACCCUUUUUUUAAUUACUUAAAACAGUUCCAUGAGGUAUAUAGAAUUAUUUACAGAUUAGAUAAUUGCAGAGAAAAAUACAUUUUUGUAAGAUUCAUAAGUUAGUUAUAAUAAAAACUACAAAAAUCUAUUGUAAGACAAUAGUUAGGACAAAAAACUAUUGGCUCCAAAGUUAACACUUCCUGUUGCUCUUCAAUAGUGCUCACUGGAUUUUGGAUAGUUAGGAGGAAAAGAGGAAGGGAAGGCAGAAAGGAGACAGAGAUCAACCGGACAGAGAGACUACACACAUCUUGGUAAAUAUGUCACAGUAAAAUUUUGAAUAAAAACAACAGUUGGAUCAAUAACCAGGGGCCACUUUUUAAAUGAUGCAGAAUGUGUGUUACUGCAAAAGAAAGCAAAAGGUACUUUGUAAUACCAGAACAGAGGGCAGCCAAUUGGAGUUUUGAUUGUAUACAAAAAAUAAAAAGACAAACAAGGCAGAGAUCUGAGAAUUGGAGUGGAAUGGGUCUGGGGUUUGAAAUCAGGCAACGGGUUUUUGAACUUGAUCUAUUCUAGGGAAGCAGUGAGGGCACCUCAUAAGGAAGGUGGCACUAUGGAAGAGAGAGAAUUCAGCAUUUGAUAAAGCGAAUUCUGAAAUUUCUUCUACUGAUGUUAUCAUUCACUGCUGAGGACUUUGGUCUUAUCUCUUUGAAAACAUAAAAGAAGGCUAAUUCAUUUUAAGAGCAAUGUUCUAUUUGUCCCUCUGCAGUCCACUCAAUGAGUUAAUGUAUUUAGAAAGCUUUUAUCAUGGAGACAGCUUGGUUUCUCCCUUCCUCAUACUAAGUAAAUUUCAGUGAAUUAAAUGACAAAAAGCCAUCUGCUUUCUAUAAAUAAGCUCCUCUAAUACCUGGCAAAUCUUAAAAGUCAAGCUGACAACGAAUCUCAGCAUGAUCAAUGAUCCAGACUAUAUAAUUCAUCUGCUGCUGAGGGAUACUGGUCUUGUUGUGGUCAACAGGAAGAGGAUAUGUCCAUGUUUCUGACUUGGAGGUCAACGUUUUAUAGGAAAUUCAAUUUUACUCUGAUAAUCAUUGCACAUGCUGUUCCAACUGUCAGGAUUAAGUAUCUUCUGUUACAAUUUGAGACAACCUACGCAUCCUUAAAUAGUCAUCUCAAAUGCAUCUUCCUCAUGACAGCUGCUCUAAUUCAUUUUUAGACAAUUUAUUAUUUUCAUCAUUAUUUUCACAAUAAUAAACUUAUUGGUAGUAAUCAUAAUUAUCAUUUAAUUACUAAGAAAUUAAUAUGGGCUAGCCAUUUACAUGCAUCAUUUACAUUAAUUUCUCAUGACAACUCUUGGAGAUAAAUACAAAUAUCACCUUAAUUAACUGUAUGAGGAAAGCAGGGCAGAGAACAGUUUAAAAGUUCCCCCAAACAGAUAUCUAAUGACAGAACAAAGUGUGGGACCAGAGCAAUGUGAAAUCAAAAGUAUUUGUGUUAAUCACUAUGCCAUGAACGUGCAAGUACAGCACUUUCCUAAUUAUAGUAUUUAUAUUUAUGUAUAUAUCCAUCUACCCCAAUAAAAUAGAAAAGCCUUGAGUGGUGAGACCAUGUAUCAUUCAUUUUUGUUUUAGCAGCCUUUACAAUAAUGAGUGGCCUAUAGAAGAUAUUCAAUUAAACUUUUCUAAGCCUCUUUUCCAAUUUACAGGUGAGAGACUAGUAAUAACAGGCACAUUACAAUUUGU